CUACACCAUCAUACCACCUUGAAUGCACCUGCUUUUGUCUUAUUUCAGAAGCUAAGCAGGCUUGAACUUUGUUAACACUUAGAUGAGAAAUACCAGGGAGUGGCAGGGCUGGGAGGGA
rnacentral:rRNA from 1 species